GUGAUUGUAGCUCAGCUGGUUAGAGCGCUGGUUUGUGGCACCAGAGGUCGCCGGUUCGAAUCCGGUCUUUCACC
rnacentral:tRNA from 1 species